CACGUAGGGCGCAAGCGUUGUCCGGAAUUAUUGGGCGUAAAGAGCUCGUAGGCGGUGUGUCGCGUCGGCCGUGAAAACCUGCAGCUUAACUGUGGGCUUGCGGUCGAUACGGGCAUCACUGGAGUUCGGCAGGGGAGACUGGAAUUCCUGGUGUAGCGAUGAAAUGCGCAGAUAUCAGGAGGAACACCGGUGGCGAAGGCGGGUCUCUGGGCCGAUGACUGACGCUGAGGAGCGAAAGCGUGGGGAGCGAACAGG
rnacentral:rRNA from 1 species